CUACGGGAGGCAGCAGUGGGGAAUUUUGGACAAUGGGCGCAAGCCUGAUCCAGCCAUUCCGCGUGCAGGAUGAAGGCCUUCGGGUUGUAAACUGCUUUUGUACGGAACGAAACGGUUCUCUCUAAUACAGGGGGCUAAUGACGGUACCGUAAGAAUAAGCACCGGCUAACUACGUGCCAGCAGCCGCGGUAAUACGUAGGGUGCAAGCGUUAAUCGGAAUUACUGGGCGUAAAGCGUGCGCAGGCGGUUUUGUAAGACAGAGGUGAAAUCCCCGGGCUCAACCUGGGAACUGCCUUUGUGACUGCAAGGCUGGAGUACGGCAGAGGGGGAUGGAAUUCCGCGUGUAGCAGUGAAAUGCGUAGAUAUGCGGAGGAACACCGAUGGCGAAGGCAAUCCCCUGGGCCUGUACUGACGCUCAUGCACGAAAGCGUGGGGAGCAAACAGGAUUAGAAACCCCAGUAGUCC
rnacentral:rRNA from 1 species